UACAGAGGUCCCAAGCGUUGUUCGGAUUCACUGGGCGUAAAGGGUGUGUAGGUGGCGAGUUAAGUUUGAUGUGAAAUCUCCGGGCUCAACUCGGAAAUGGCAUUGAAUACUAUCUUGCUAGAGGAGUGGAGGGGGGACUGGAAUACUUGGUGUAGCAGUGAAAUGCGUAGAUAUCAGGAAGAACACCCGUGGCGAAGGCGGCUCUCUGGGACGGUACUGACGCUGAGACGCGAAAGCGUGGGGAGCGAACAGG
rnacentral:rRNA from 1 species